rnacentral:rRNA from 1 species
UGGGGAAUCUUGCGCAAUGGGCGAAAGCCUGACGCAGCGACGCCGCGUGAGGGAAGAAGGCCUUCGGGUUGUAAACCUCUUUCAGCAGGGACGAAGCUACUCGGGUUAACAGCCCAGAGGGUGACGGUACCUGUAGAAGAAGCCCCGGCUAACUACGUGCCAGCAGCCGCGGUAAUACGUAGGGGGCAAGCGUUGUCCGGAUUUACUGGGCGUAAAGAGCGUGUAGGCGGCCAAGCAGGUCUGUUGUGAAAACUGGAGGCUCAACCUCCAGACGUCGACAGAAACCGCUUGGCUAGAGUCCGGAAGAGGAGAGUGGAAUUCCUGGUGUAGCGGUGAAAUGCGCAGAUAUCAGGAAGAACACCAAUGGCGAAGGCAGCUCUCUGGGACGGUACUGACGCUGAGACGCGAAAGCGUGGGGAGCGAACAGGAUUAGAUACCCUGGUAGUCCACGCCGUAAACGAUGGGUGCUAGGUGU